UCGAGAAUCUUCCACAAUGGACGAAAGUCUGAUGGAGCGACGCCGCGUGAUUGAUGAAGUCUCUAGGGAUGUAAAGAUCUUUUAUGAAGGAGAAAGUUUUGAUAGUACUUCAUGAAUAAGGGGUUGCUAAACUCGUGCCAGCAGCAGCGGUAAUACGAGUACCCCAAGCGUUAUCCGGAAUUAUUGGGCGUAAAGGGUGUGUAGGUGGUCGUAUUAGUCAUUCGUUAAAGCUCCCGGCUUAACCGGGAAAUCGCGAAUGAAACGGUACGACUAGAGGGCGCGAGAGGUUUGCGGAACUCAUAGUGUAGGGGUGAAAUCCGUUGAUAUUAUGGGGAACACCAAAAGCGAAGGCAGCAAACUGGUGCGUUUCUGACACUGAAACACGAAAGCGUAGGUAGCG
rnacentral:rRNA from 1 species